rnacentral:rRNA from 1 species
UACGUAGGGGGCAAGCGUUAUCCGGAUUUACUGGGUGUAAAGGGAGCGUAGACGGCAUGGCAAGCCAGAUGUGAAAGCCCGGGGCUCAACCCCGGGACUGCAUUUGAAACUGUCAGGCUGGAGUGCAGGAGAGGUAAGCGGAAUUCCUAGUGUAGCGGUGAAAUGCGUAGAUAUUAGGAGGAACACCAGUGGCGAAGGCGGCUUACUGGACUGUAACUGACGUUGAGGCUCGAAAGCGUGGGGAGCAAACAGG